rnacentral:rRNA from 1 species
AUGGAAGGCUACUUUGCGGAGGUACCUACAUACCCUCCUCGUCUCUUCCGCAGAAGGUACCGAAUGCGGCGUAGUUUGUUUGUGAAGAUUGUCACCGAUUGUGAGGCCGCCUCCUAUUACUUUAAACGUCGUAGAUCCGCCGCCGGUAUCAUGGGGUUUAGUGCAUAUCAAAAGAUAUCGGCGGCAAUGCGGGUACUCGCUUAUGGCAUACCCGCGGAUUAUACCGACGAGUAUCUUCGCAUUGGGCAAGAUACAACCACGGAGUCAGUCCGUAGGUUUGCCAAGUUGGUCAUCCGGUUGUACGGUGAGCAGUAUCUUCGGGCACCAAACGAGGAAGAUACAAAGAGAUUAAUGGAAAUGAUGAAAAAAGGGGAUGGCCGGGGAUGCUUGGUAGUCUUGAUUGCAUGCAUUGGAGGUGGAAAAAUUGCCCAAAGGCAUGGCACGGAAUGUAUUGCGGUAAAAGCCGUGAUGCUACCAUUGUGCUUGAGGCCGUAG